GAUGAAGAACGUAGUGAAACGCGAUAUGUAAUGUGAAUUGCAGAAUUCAGUGAAUCAUCGAAUCUUUGAACGCACAUUGCGCCCGCCAGCACUCUGGCGGGCAUGCCUGUUCGAGCGUCAUUUCAACCAUCAAGCCCCCAGGGGCUUGUGCUGGGGCCCUGCGGCUGCCCGCAGGCCCUGAAAACCAGUGGCGGGCUCGCUAGUCACACCGAGCGCAGUAGCACAUCUCGCUCAGGGCGUGCGGCGGGCUCCUGCCGUGAAACCCCCCACUGUAACCCCAAAGGUUGACCUCGGAUCAGGUAGGAAUACCCGCUGAACUUAAGCAUAUCAAUAAGCGGAGGA
rnacentral:misc_RNA from 1 species